UGGGGGAUAUUGCACAAUGGGCGAAAGCCUGAUGCAGCGACGCUGCGUGGGGGAUGAAGGCUUUCGGGUUGUAAACUUCUUUUGCUCUGAACAAGGCAUGCCUUUGGGGUGUGUUGAGUGUAGGGGUUGAUUAGCGCCGGCUAACUACGUGCCAGCAGCCGCGGUAAUACGUAGGGCGCGAGCGUUGUCCGGAAUUAUUGGGCGUAAAGGGCUUGUAGGUGGCUGGUUGCGUCUGUCGUGAAAGCUCAUGGCUUAACUGUGGGUUUGCGGUGGGUACGGGCUGGCUUGAGUGCAGUAGGGGAGGCUGGAAUUCCUGGUGUAGCGGUGGAAUGCGCAGAUAUCAGGAGGAAUACCGGUGGCGAAGGCGGGUCUCUGGGCUGUUACUGACGCAGAAGAGCGAAAGCGUGAGGAGCGAACAGG
rnacentral:rRNA from 1 species